GUCUUUUCCCGCUUCUCUCUGGGCUCACCUGUUUAUUUCCAUCAAUCAGGGCUCCAGUUUUUUAUGUUAGUGUGAGAGACUGUUUCUUUUAUUAGAAACAUUAUUGGGGAGGGGGGUGUGUGGCUGUAAUUUAUGCUGGUCCAGGUCGGUUUUCAAGAAGGGGGAGGAGACUUGGAGGAUACCCCAGCUCCUGGCCGUAGCUGACCCCACUGCCUUCCCUGCGGAAUCCUUUCCCUCACUCCGCAGCCCGCACGCCAGCUGCCACCUUACUGGAGAAUAACCACACCUGUGCUUCUAUCCGCUUUGGAGACGAGGUGAGCAGAGAAACCAGGGAAUCCCCUGUAGCUCCAGGUCUCUUAGCUAGAACCCCAACACCCGAGAAUUGGCAGAAAGCGCUCCCUUCACCUGCUGAUUGCGUUCAGCACAUCUGUCUUCAACCUCCUGACAAGUUGUGGUCCACAGUUGUGUCGGGAUUUUUCUCUUCCUUCACCCCUGUACCCUACCACUGGCAACCAACGGCUGGGCUUAGGUUGUGAAAAGGAGAGGUGGCCCCCUUCGGCCCAGUGUGCUGUGCUGUGUUUUAUUCCCCAGUGGGUCUUCCAAUCGAAAUCUGCUCACAUCUUGCAGUCCCCUCUACCCUUCUCCUAAACUUAGCUCAGAAGCAGGCCUAAGCAGCCUGUCUUCUGGCUUUUUUUUCCCCUGGGCGGCACCCUGGCCCCUUUUGGUUUUCCAGAGCCAAACACGCCUCCCAAGCAGACGGCACACCCAGCCCCAAGUCUAACCAUUCCAAAGGGAGGAGGAAACAAGGGAAGAGAAGGGACUCAAGGGUUUCUGUCUGGAAUAUCAUAACAGUAUUUCCCUCUUCAAGCCUCCUAGAUAUAUAAUCCCUGUGUUAUUCUUACCAGCGUGUUAUUCUGUUAUAACUGUGUUAUUCUUCUACCCUUCUUGCCCCUGGCCCUUCAUAGAUUAUUGGGGGAAGAAGAUGGGUAGAGAAAGAGAUGGUCACCCUUAUUCUCUAGAAGGAGACAUUUUUCUCCUUUCAUUUGUGACAUAUUCAGCAUGUAAAAUAAGUAAAUGUUUGCACGCUUAUUUGAACUUGUUUUCUUCUUGGCUAAUGAAUAGCUGGAACUCCACAGGGAAGGAGGGGAGAAAGAUGCCCCAGAGUGUCCCCUGCAUUGCCAGGGAAGACCCUUCUGUAACAGCUAACAGUCUCCCUUCCAUGACAUCACCACCUAAGCCCUUCCAACUUUAGCUUCAGAACAGGAAGAAGGCCCAAAAUAGAACUACCUUAGGAAUCCAGCUCCUUUAAAAGAUCAACUUUUAAAUCAGCUGCAGGAGGAACAUAGUGAACUUUGACAGGGGGAGUGAGAAGGUAGAGAAAGCUGUGAUGUUUGUAAUUGGUUCCUUUGGGAAAGAGAGGGAAGAUACUUUCCAGGUAUUUCAGAAAAGCUUUUCUCAAGAUAGAUUCAGGUACCCAGAACAAUGAAUGAUUAAUAGUUUGGUUUGAGAUUUAUUUAUUGAAUUAUUCAUAUGUUUCAGUAUGUCAACAAGAACAAGCACUUUUCAGAAUUAGUUAAAGAGGGCCUCCUGGAAUGUGCUCUACUGUGUGUUUAGAUACAAAGGUGGUUGGGGAAGUUAGGAGGGGGCACUUGAAGAAGGCAGAGAUUCUGAGGAUCAGUGACAGCUGCUCUAUGUAAGUUGAGAGGCUCAUUAUAAACAAUGACCCCAAAGUAACUUUUGCAGGGUGACAAACAUCCCAGACAAAGGAGUAACAGUGUCGGGAUUUUCUACCUUUGCCUUGUAGAGUCUUUGAAUCUCAGUGUCUCUUUUUAUGUCCUUAAAUCAAAAUGAGCCUUUCUCUCUUUACUAAGCAGCCCUUCCCAAAAUUGUCUGGGGAGGACUGCCUAGUAAAUGAUCAGUCACUGAAGUACUGACGACUUAAAGGAUUGGAAGUGGGGCAGAAAGCACUUGACAUAAGUUGAGUGCCUGGUAGAUACUGUAGAAGGACUUGCUGGUUGAUGAG
rnacentral:lncRNA from 1 species